rnacentral:rRNA from 1 species
UACGGAGGGUGCGAGCGUUGUCCGGAAUCACUGGGCGUAAAGGGCGCGUAGGCGGCUGGGGAAGUCGGCGGUGAAAGCCCGGAGCUCAACUCCGGGUCGGCCGUCGAGACUCCUCGGCUCGAGCUCACUAGAGGCAGAUGGAAUUCCGGGUGUAGCGGUGGAAUGCGUAGAUAUCGGGAGGAACACCUGUGGCGAAAGCGGCUCACUGGACCACAACUGACGCUGAGGCGCGAAAGCUAGGGGAGCAAACAGG